ACGACUACACCAAUAGCUCUUACC
rnacentral:siRNA from 1 species